CAGUAGCCACGGUAAGACAGAGGAUGCAAGCGUUAUCCGGAAUUAUUGGGCGUAAAGGGCUCGCAGGCGGUUUCUUAAGUCUGAUGUGAAAGCCCCCGGCUCAACCGGGGAGGGUCAUUGGAAACUGGGAAACUUGAGUGCAGAAGAGGAGAGUGGAAUUCCACGUGUAGCGGUGAAAUGCGUAGAGAUGUGGAGGAACACCAGUGGCGAAGGCGACUCUCUGGUCUGUAACUGACGCUGAGGAGCGAAAGCGUGGGGAGCGAACAGGAUUAGAUACCCGCGUAGUCCCUGUCUCUUAUAU
rnacentral:rRNA from 1 species